UACGUAGGGUGCGAGCGUUGUCCGGAAUUAUUGGGCGUAAAGCGCGCGUAGGCGGCCGCUUAAGUCGGAUGUGAAAGCCCCUGGCUCAACUGGGGAAGUGCACCCGAAACUGAAUGGCUUGAGUACUAAAGAGGGUCGCGGAAUUCCCGGUGUAGAGGUGAAAUUCGUAGAUAUCGGGAGGAACACCGGUGGCGAAGGCGGCGACCUGGGUAGAUACUGACGCUGAGGCGCGAAAGCGUGGGGAGCAAACAGG
rnacentral:rRNA from 1 species